AGUACACGCCAAAAUGCAAGUUUGGAGAAGCACCCAAUUAGGUGCCGGGGCUUCUCCCGUUUUUUCCUAGACGGGAGAAGA
rnacentral:tRNA from 1 species